rnacentral:rRNA from 1 species
AUGAAGGUGGUGGCUGCGGUGGACGCGAGCGAGGAGAGCCUGCACGCGCUGUCGUGGGCGCUCGACAACGUCGUCCGUCCCCACCCCGGCGCGUCCGUCGUCGUCCUCCACGUCCAGCAUCACGCCAACCACUUCGCCUACCCCGUCGCCGGGCACGAUCUAUUGAAGACAAAUGCUCCAGAAUUCGCUCUAAAAAACUAUUCAGAAUUCCUAUUCAUAAUGCAGAGCAUGAAUGAUCGCCUGGCCUACGUCCCGCCCACGGCGAUGGACGCCAUGAGGAGGACGCAGGCGGAGAACUCCAGGAACGUGGUGGCCCGCGCGCUCGACGUGUGCAGGCAGAAGCAGGCGAGCGUCACGGCGGCGGUGGUGGAGGGCGACGCCAAGGAUGCGAUCUGCCAGGCCGUGGAGGACAUGCGCGCCGACUUGCUCGUCCUCGGCAGCCGCGGCCUGGGCAUGAUCAAGAGGGCGUUUUUGGGCAGCGUGAGCGACUACCUCGCCCAUCACGCGCGCUGCCCCGUUCUCAUCGUCAAGCCGCCCAACAAAGCCCGCCAUGAGUGA